rnacentral:lncRNA from 1 species
UUUAUUGUUGUGUUUUAAUUUCAGAAUGGGCCUACUGGUCUAGUGGUGGGUUGUGUGUUAGUUCAGUCUGGGGUUCUAAGUUCAAGUCCUCAAGUGCGUUUUGAGGGACUAUUUUUUAUUUUUUUAUUUUGUUGUAAAAGUUUAAAUAUUUAUUAUUUUUAUUUUUAUUUUGAAAGAAGUCAUUCUUUUUCACGUUCUCUUCUUCCUAUUCCACACGUUUUCUUCUUUUCUUCUUCUCCCACAUCCUCUUUAGC